rnacentral:rRNA from 1 species
GCGUUUUUCCGGGAAUUAUUGGGCGUAAGGGCUCGCAGGCGGUUUCUUAGUCUGAUGUGAAAGCCCCCGGCUCAACCGGGGAGGGUCAUUGGAAACUGGGAAACUUGAGUGCACAAGAGGAGAGUGGAAUUCCACGUGUAGCGGUGAAAUGCGUAGAGAUGUGGAGGAACACCAGUGGCGAAGGCGACUCUCUGGUCUGUAACUGACGCUGAGGAGCGAAAGCGUGGGGAGCGAACAGGAUUAGAUACCCUGGUAGUCCACGCCGUAAACGAUGAGUGCUAAGUGUUAGGGGGUUUCCGCCCCUUAGUGCUGCAGCUAACGCAUUAAGCACUCCGCCUGGGGAGUACGGUCGCAAGACUGAAACUCAAAGGAAUUGACGGGGGCCCGCACAAGCGGUGGAGCAUGUGGUUUAAUUCGAAGCAACGCGAAGAACCUUACCAGGUUCUUGACAUCCUCUGACAACCCUAGAGAUAAGGGCUUUCCCUUCGGGGACAGAGUGACAGGUGGUGCAUGGUUGUCGUCAGCUCGUGUCGUGAGAUGUUGGGUUAAGUCCCGCAACGAGCCGCAACCCCUUGAAUCUU